GAGGUCCCGCCUGCCCUGUGACCACAAAGUUUAACGGCCGCGGUAUCCUGACCGUGCGAAGGUAGCGUAAUCAUUUGUCUUUUAAAUAGAGACCUGUAUGAAUGGCAUAACGAGGGUUUAACUGUCUCCUUCCCCUAGUCAAUGAAAUUGAUCUGUCCGUGCAGAAGCGGACAUAAAUACAUAAGACGAGAAGACCCUAUGGAGCUUUAGACAAAAGAUCAAACAUGUAAAGAAACCAAACUAACCAAAAGGAACACAAAGGCCACAAAACCCAACGUAAACUGAUCCAAAUGUCUUCGGUUGGGGCGACCAUGGGGGAAAGAAAAGCCCCCACGAGGAACAGGGACAACCCCUAAACUAAGAGAGACACCUCUAAGCAACAGAAAAUCUGACCAAAAAUGACCCAGGAUACUUAUCCUGAUCAACGAACCAAGUUACCCUAGGGAUAACAGCGCAAUCCUUUCCCAGAGUCCAUAUCGACGAAAGGGUUUACGACCUCGAUGUUGGAUCAGGACAUCCUAAUGGUGCAGCCGCUAUUAAGGGUUCGUUUGUUCAACGAUUAAUAGUCCUACGUGAUCUGAGUUCA
rnacentral:rRNA from 1 species